AAAUUAUUGAUGCAUUGGAGAGCGAGGCAGCCAAGCAAGAUGCAUGGUGUGUUGCAACACUGAGAAAACUACAAGAAACAUCCCCACUGAGUUUAAAGGUUUCACUCAGAUCUAUCCGUGAAGGCAGACAUCAGACUCUAGACCAGUGCCUAAGGCGUGAGUAUCGAAUGUCAGUACAAGCUUUAUCUGGACAAAUAACUAGUGACUUCCGUGAGGGGGUUCGUGCACGGCUUGUGGAUAGAGAUCUUGCUCCUAAGUGGGAUCCUCCAACGUUGGAGAAAGUAACGGACGACAUGGUAGAUCAGUACUUUUCUCGGUUAACAGCAUUUGAGCCUGAACUGGAGCUACCAACACAACAGCGAGAAGCAUUUACAUAACUUUUGGGUAGGGAAACUCCUCAACUUUGAAGAUAACAGAAGAAAAUAAGUAAAUUAUAUCAGUUAUCUUUUCUUCACAUUACAAACACUGAGCAAUUCAGUCUUGAUAUAGUAGCAUUUGCAAAUCUGUAUUGAAAAUUACUAAUGAUAUGGCCUUGGCAAAUUGCCCAAAUGAUGUGGCAGCUUCUUCUUUUUUUAAUCUUCUUGUCCUGGAAGA
rnacentral:misc_RNA from 1 species